GAUUGAAACACCUGUUACUGUACGAUCACCGAAGUUAAGCAACGUCAAGCAUGGUCACUACCUAGAUGGGUGACCACUUGGGAAUACCGGGUGCUAUA